CUGUGGCUUGUCAAAGAUCAGCUGUGAUUAUCUGGCAGCAGCGCUGAAGUCCAACCCCUCCCAUCUGAGAGAGCUGAGCCUGAGCUGGAACAAGCUGCAGGCUUCAGGAGUGAAGCAUCUGUGUGGUUUCCUGGAGAGUCCCGGAUGUGGACUUGAAACUCUGAGAUUGACCAGCUGUGGUUUGUCAAAGAUCAGCUGUGAUUAUCUGGCAGCAGCACUGAAGUCCAACCCCUCCCAUCUGAGAGAGCUGGAGCUGUGGAGAAACAACCUGAAACUUCCAGAUGUGACGCAUUUUUUUUAUCUUAAGGAGAGUCCAGACUGCAGACUGGAGUAUCUGCUGUGGAGGUGAUGAUGGUAACAGGACGGUGUGUGUGCUGAGAGAGGAGCAGCUGUGUCCUGAUGAUCCAGAGAGGUUGAAGCAGCAGCAGCUUGUGUGUAGAGACGCUCUGACUGGGCCAUGUUACUGGGAGGUGGAGAGGAGAGCUUCAUCCA